GACGGGGCCCGGCACAAGCGAGGAGCAUGUGGUUAAUUCGAUGAUACGCGAGGAACCUUACCUGGGCUCGAACGUAAGAUGACUGUAGGUGAAAGCUUACAUCUCUUCGGAGCAUUUUACGAGGUGCUGCAUGGUUGUCGUCAGCUCGUGCCGUGAGGUGUCGGGUUAAGUCCCAUAACGAGCGCAACCCCUACCUUUAGUUGCCAUCAGGUAAUGCUGGGGACUCUAAAGGAACUGCCUACGCAAGUAGUGAGGAAGGCGGGGAUGACGUCAAAUCAGCACGGCCCUUACGUCCAGGGCUACACACGUGCUACAAUGGCCGAUACAGAGGGCAGCUACCUGGUGACAGGAUGCAAAUCUCCAAAGUCGGUCUCAGUUCGGAUCGGAGUCUGCAACCCGACUCCGUGAAGUUGGAUUCGCUAGUAAUCGCGCAUCAGCCAUGGCGCGGUGAAUACGUUCCCGGGCCUU
rnacentral:rRNA from 1 species